UUCCUCGUUCAUACCACACCCAUUCUGAACCAAAAUCACCGAACACAAACCCAGAUGGCAUUUGCUCCCACAUGACUUUGCUGGUUCUUCUUCGACCUCUAUUGAAAUAGCACGGCUGAGCAUACCAAGCACGAAACAGGUCGUCUUCCCGAACCAUUGUGGGCAUGAGCAACCAGAUAUUUGUGCGGAGGCGUCCAAAAUCAUAGAGCUCCAGCGAAUUCGAGCUCUGACUGCUCUGAAGUAGAUGGAGCUUCGUUUUUCUUCAGCUCUCUGGGGGCUCAUCCUCUUCUCCGAUUGCUAUGAAAUUGAAUUUUGCAACUUGAUGUUGGUGAAUCACUGGCCGGGUAAGACCCAUUUUGAUGAUGGUGGUCUCAUUUCAUUCUUCAUUUUCUUUCACCCAUUCAAGUUCUACAUUUCGACCGAUUCUUCUCUCCCUGGAAUUGGAUUCAUACUCGCAACUUUCGAAUUUCGAUUAUGGUCGUCAGGUAAACCAGGCCUGAUUCUCACUUUGGUCUCAUCCGUUUUUUUUUUUCAUUGCGAUUGUAAUUUCUGUGAUUAGACUAUUGUGUAUCAUUGAAUUUGGGGGAAUGGUCUCGAUAGAUUGAUAUUGAUCUGUGAAAAGUUUUGAAAUUUUGAACUUGUAUAUAAUCCCCAAAUUUACUAGACUAUUUGAAGAAUCAAGUAGCUGUCUUUGCCCGA